rnacentral:snRNA from 1 species
GUGCUCGCUUCGGCAGCACAUAUUGGAAUGAUACACAGAAGAUUAGCAUGGCCCCUGCACAAGGAUGAUGGCCAUUAAAUGAGAGAGAGAGAGAGAGAGA